CUAAACUUCGUACUUCCUUCCCCUCAACCGCCACUCUCCCUCCCCAAUUUUUUAUGUCUUGACAGAUUUUUAACUUCAUGGUUUGUCUCUUCCCAGGUAAGUUCAUGUCUCUAUAUAUAUAUCGUAGGGUUUCUGAAUCUCUUUUACAUCUGCUUGAGUUUGGAUUAAGUUCAAUUUAUGAGUUAUUCCAACAAUUUAAUAGAUAUUAUGCCUUAUAUUUUAUAAGUAGUGAACGUGAUUUUGAAAAUUUGAUAGGUUUUGUACCUUACACCUGAUUGACUUGGGUUUCUGCUUUAAUUAUUUAUUUUUUAUUUAUAGGAUGCUCAAGAGAAAAGUGCCUUUGAGAAAUUUCAAUCUCGUCUAAUGUCAAACUGUAAGUUUUACUUCUUUUUUCCAUCUCCAUAAGUUUAUGAUGUUUAUUUAAAUGCUUUUUCUUUUGUCUUUUGUAUUGGAGAAAAGUUUAGAUCUUCUUUCACCUGAUUCAUGGCUAAGUUUUUUUUCUUAUUCCAUGAUUCAUUGAAUAUUUUCAAUUACUAAUUGUAAAUACGUCUUUAGAUGUUUUGAUAAUUCAAAUAUAAGUUUCUCACAAGAUCAUGUUAUUUCAUUGUUUCAGUCUAGUAAGAGUGAUAUAUAUAUAUUUGUCACGAUUCGAAAUUUUCACCGUCGGGACCAUGAUGACACCUAACAUUUUACUUGCUAGGCAAGUCAACAUUAUAACAAUUUGCUUCCUUUAACCAUUUAAAUGAUGACAUUAAUAAUGAACUGAAAUAACAGAUAUGUUCUAAAUAUAGAUGAAGAAACUAAACCAACCAAACAUCUAUUACAAUUCCAUGAACCUGGUGACAAGUGCAUGAGCUUCUAAAGUAAUACAUAUAAAGGUCUGAAAUAAGUACAAAGAUGUCUGAAUGAAGUUAUACAACUAAAAAUAAAAGAGGAUGGGGACUCCAGGAGCUGCGGAUGCUGAAUAGUCGUACCUCAAGUCUCCGACAAUGUCCAAUCCGAACAUGCUAAUAACCGCCGCUGGGACCGACUACAAAAUCUGUAUAGUGUACAGAGUGUAGUAUCAGUACAACCGAUCCCAUGUACUUGUAAGUAUCGAGUCUAAUCUCGAUGAAGUAGUGACGAGGCUAAGGCGGGUCACCUACAUUAUAACCUGUACGCAAUAUAUAAUAAUGACAGAAUAAUAAAAAUGCUGAGCAGAAUUUGUGAUGACCCGUCAUCACCUGUUUUACAAGUCGAUUCUGUGAUCCGAGGCCUUAAAACCCUUUUUUAUCUUACCUCAAUUUACGUACGCAUUCCGGGCGUGUAUCCAGAAAAUCAUUAUGUGAAAAUCUGUGAAAAAUGAUCAAUUUUACUUUUAAAAUGAAUUUAAGUUGACUUUGGUCAACAUUCUUGCUAAACGGACCCGGACCCGUGAUCCGACGGUCUUGUAGGGUCUGUAGUAAAAUUUGGGACUUGGGCAUAUGCCCGAAAUCGAAUUCCGAGGCCCCAAGCCCGAGAAAUGAAUUUAAAAAAAAUAUUUUUUGGAAUAUAUAAGAGUUUUUGGAAAUGAAAGAUGUUUGAAAUUGAUGGUAUCAGGCCCGUAUUUUGGUUCCGAAAUCCGGUACAAGUUUGAAAUAAUAAUUAGGUUGAAUCUGUAAAAUUUGGUAAAGAUCGCAAUUGGUUUGGUAUAAAACGGAAUUAAAGUUAAGAAAUUGGAAAUUUUGGUAUUCUUGAAUGAUUCAUGAAUUUGGGGUUUAAUUCAUAGUUGUUGAUGUUAUUUUGAUAACUUGAUGACACGAGCAAGUCUGUAUGAUGUUUUUAGGUUAGUGUGCAUGUUUGGUUUGGAGCCUCGAGGGUUCGAGUAAAUUUUGGAUAGGCCAUGAAAUGAAAUUGGACUUAGGAGAAUUGCUGGUGUGUUGCAGGUUUGUAGCAGGCCUCUGAUCUCGCAUUUGCGAGAUCAGGCAUCACAAUUAUGAUGCAAGCAGGGUUCGUAAAUACGAGGUUUUUGUCACAAAUGCGAAGAACUCCGGG
rnacentral:lncRNA from 1 species